GCGGGGCGCGAGGGCUUCCCGAAGGGCAGGGGUUGCGGCGGGGGCCCUGGCGGCCGUCGUGCGCCGUGCGGGCCAAUGGCCCGCGGUCGUCGCCGGGUCUAGGGCAGGUUGGGUGGGCCACAAGCUUGUGCAGUUAGGGGCUCCCUUUUUAAGAAAAAGGAUACAAAAUUAGAAUGAAGGGGAAUAUUAGGAUAAGAAAAGUAGACACAACUUGCAAAUGGUGCAAAGCUGGAUUGCUCUCAGACGGAUCCAGACCUCUCCUGUAUGAGCUGAAGCUCCUCAGGUGUCCAGGUGCGGGGCUGGUCUGUCUGCUGUGGCCUCAGGAUGGCUUCCUGUGAGCUUAUGUCGCUAUUGAUUGCAGUAUUGCGAGUGGAAUCAGAAGAAAUGGAAGCUGGUUUCUGAGUUCAUGGUUCACUCACCUUCACGAAUCGGCCCCGCCCUCCGAGAAGGCGCCUACUAUGUUUUCAUGCGAUUUGCGUGCGACCCGAGUAAACGUGCCCCUGCCGGGCGCCAUCCUCGCAGUCUCUGGGGAGCCCUUCAGGUGUUCACGGAUGCGAGUGACGGCUGUCACCAUGAGAACGUGUACAAGCAAAGCAAAACAGGCGAAGUUUGAUUUGGGGACAAACUAGUUAAUGUCAUGUAGCAUUUUCCUGUUAAAAAAUAAUUCUUUCAAAUAUCAUUGGUAUUUGUAUAUUGUCUGUGUACCAUGUCUAACUGGUUUAAUUCAUUUAUUAAUUAUAGUAAUUUCUUUAAAAAAAAAAAAAAGGAGGAAAUAAAUGUCUGUUGAAGGUAAAAAAAAAAAA